rnacentral:rRNA from 1 species
UACGUAGGGUGCGAGCGUUGUCCGGAAUUAUUGGGCGUAAAGGGCUCGUAGGCGGUUUGUUGCGUCGGCCGUGAAAACCUGCAGCUUAACUGUGGGCCUGCGGUCGAUACGGGCAGACUUGAGUUCGGUAGGGGAGACUGGAAUUCCUGGUGUAGCGGUGAAAUGCGCAGAUAUCAGGAGGAACACCGGUGGCGAAGGCGGGUCUCUGGGCCGAUACUGACGCUGAGGAGCGAAAGCGUGGGGAGCGAACAGG